rnacentral:rRNA from 1 species
UACGUAGGGGGCGAGCGUUAUCCGGAUUCACUGGGUGUAAAGGGAGCGUAGACGGCCAUGCAAGCCAGGGGUGAAAGCCCGGGGCCCAACCCCGGGACUGCCCUUGGAACUGCAUGGCUGGAGUGCGGGAGGGGCAGGCGGAAUUCCUGGUGUAGCGGUGAAAUGCGUAGAUAUAUGGAGGAACACCGGUGGCGAAAGCGGCUCUCUGGUCUGUAACUGACGCUGAGGCUCGAAAGCGUGGGUAGCGAACAGG